rnacentral:rRNA from 1 species
UGGACCCGUGAUCCGGGUUGCGGACAGUGUCUGGUGGGUAGUUUGACUGGGGCGGUCUCCUCCUAAAGAGUAACGGAGGAGCACGAAGGUUGGCUAAUCCUGGUCGGACAUCAGGAGGUUAGUGCAAUGGCAUAAGCCAGCUUGACUGCGAGCGUGACGGCGCGAGCAGGUGCGAAAGCAGGUCAUAGUGAUCCGGUGGUUCUGAAUGGAAGGGCCAUCGCUCAACGGAUAAAAGGUACUCCGGGGAUAACAGGCUGAUACCGCCCAAGAGUUCAUAUCGACGGCGGUGUUUGGCACCUCGAUGUCGGCUCAUCACAUCCUGGGGCUGAAGUAGGUCCCAAGGGUAUGGCUGUUCGCCAUUUAAAGUGGUACGCGAGCUGGGUUUAGAACGUCGUGAGACAGUUCGGUCCCUAUCUGCCGUGGGCGCUGGAGAACUGAGGGGGGCUGCUCCUAGUACGAGAGGACCGGAGUGGACGCAUCACUGGUGUUCGGGUUGUCAUGCCAAUGGCACUGCCCGGUAGCUAAAUGCGGAAGAGAUAAGUGCUGAAAGCAUCUAAGCACGAAACUUGCCCCGAGAUGAGUUCUCCCUGAGACUUAGAGUCUCCUGAAGGAACGUUGAAGACGACGACGUUGAUAGGCCGGGUGUGUAAGCGCAGCGAUGCGUUGAGCUAACCGGUACUAAUGAACCGUGAGGCUUAACCUU